AACGAACGCUGGCGGCGUGCCUAACACAUGCAAGUCGAACGGGAAAACCCGCAAGGGUGAGUACAGUGGCGCACGGGUGCGUAACACGUGGGUAAUCUGCCCAGAAGCCCGGAAUAACUCCCCGAAAGGGGUGCUAAUGCCGGAUGAGACCACGGGGACUUCGGUUCCUGGGGGAAAAGGUGGCCUCUGUAUACAAGCUAUCACUUCUGGAUGAGCCCGCGGCCCAUCAGCUAGUUGGCGGGGUAAUGGCCCACCCAGGCCACGACGGGUAGCGUGGCUGAGAAGGCGAUCAGCCACACUGGAACUGAGACACAGUCCAGACUCCUACGGGAGGCAUCAGGGGGGAAUCGUGCGCAAUCGGCGAAAGCCUGACGCAGCAACGCCGCGUGUGUGAUGAAGGUCUUCGGAUCGUAAAGCACUGUCGGGAGGGACGAAUAAGGGCCGGGUGAACAAUCCGGUUCGACGACGGUACCUCCAGAGGAAGCACCGGCUAACUCUGUGCCAGCCGCCGCCGUAAGAC
rnacentral:rRNA from 1 species